rfam:Oryza brachyantha chromosome 7, whole genome shotgun sequence.
AAUAACUUUAUUUUUCGUUUUUUCGUGUUCAAUGUUUGACCAUUCGUCUUAUUUGAAAGAUUUGUAAAAAAAACUUAAAAAAUUACUCAUGCAUAAAGUAUUAUUCAUGUUUUAUUAUCUAGUAAAAAUAAAAAUAUUAAUCACAAAAAAUUCAAAUAAGACGAAGAGUCAAAACAUUGUGUCAAAAAACUGAAAAAUGAUCUUAUU